rnacentral:rRNA from 1 species
CGAUUACCCGCUGAAUUUAAGCAUAUAAGUAAGCGGAGGAUAAGAAACUAAAUAGGAUUCCCUCAGUAAUGGCGAAUGAACAGGGAUCAGCUCAGCAUGGAAAUUGGGGCCCUCGGCCUUGAAUUGUAGUCUCGAGAUGCAUCGCCAAUGGAGGCGCAGAUGUAAGCCUCUUGGAAAAGAGCAUCAACGAGGGUGAGAGUCCCGUUUGUCAUCUGCAGUCCCCCAUGCACGGCGUGCCUUCUAAGAGUCGCGUUCCUCGGAAUUGGAGCGUAAAUUGGGUGGUAAAUUUCAUCUCAAGCUAAAUAUUGGUUCGAGACCGAUAGCAAACAAGUACCAUGAGGGAAAGGUGAAAAGGACUUUGAAAAGAGAGUUAAAAGUGCCUGAAAUUGCUGAAAGGGAAGCGAAUGGAACCAGUGUUGCUUGGCGAGAUUGUCAUACGCAUUCGCGUGUGGUGGUUCUUGCCUUGUGUGUCAACGCCAGUUCGCGAUCGAGGAAAACUCUUGGGACAUGGUAGCCUGUCUUCGGGCGGGYGAAUGUGCCUUGUAGAACUCAUUUGCGGACUGAUUACUUCGUGUCUGGUUGCAGCGCUUCUUGUCYCUUSGACGUGCUUGGGSGUGGGAGCUUGCUCCUCGCGCCCAGCGCUCKGGUGACUGGGCGCUUCCCUGACACAUAGACGAUGACUAAAUGGUUCUUUUCGACCCGUCUUGAAACACGGGACC